UAGUCCACGCCGUAAACGAUGAUAACUAGACGUUGGGUUCCUUAGAGGACUUAGUGUCGAAGCUAACGCGUUAAGUUAUCCGCCUGGGGAGUACGGUCGCAAGAUUAAAACUCAAAGGAAUUGACGGGGGCCCGCACAAGCGGUGGAGCAUGUGGUUUAAUUCGAUGCAACGCGAAGAACCUUACCAUCCCUUGACAUCCAGAGAAUCUGUUAGAGAUAGUAGAGUGCCUUCGGGAACUCUGAGACAGGUGCUGCAUGCCUGUCGUCAGCUCGUGUCGUGAGAUGUUGGGUUAAGUCCCGCAACGAGCGCAACCCUUAUCUUUAGUUGCCAGCACAUAAUGGUGGGGACUCUAAAGAGACUGCCGGUGACAAACCGGGAGGAAGGGUGGGGACGACGGUCAAGGUCAUCAUGGCCCUUACGGGGAUGGGGCUACACACGUGCUACAAUGGGUCGGUACAGAGGGGCUGGCAAACUCGCGAGAGUAAGCUAAUCUCAUAAAGCCGGGUCGUAGUCCGGGAUU
rnacentral:rRNA from 1 species